UACGUAGGGUGCGAGCGUUAAUCGGAAUUACUGGGCGUAAAGCGUGCGCAGGCGGUUUGCUAAGACCGAUGUGAAAUCCCCGGGCUCAACCUGGGAACUGCAUUGGUGACUGGCAAGCUAGAGUAUGGCAGAGGGGGGUAGAAUUCCACGUGUAGCAGUGAAAUGCGUAGAGAUGUGGAGGAAUACCGAUGGCGAAGGCAGCCCCCCGGGCCAAUACUGACGCUCAUGCACGAAAGCGUGGGGAGCAAACAGG
rnacentral:rRNA from 1 species